AACAUUGAUGGCCAUCAUUAUUGAAAUUCUAGUCUGAACUUUUAAUUUGAUAACCUAUGUUGUGUAUUUCAAGUUUUAGUUCCUGAAAUGUGGCUUGCUAGAGGGGAAAAAUUUGUGACGCCAGUAAAGAGACUCUGAUGCAGAAGUCAAAAUCAAGGACUGAAUUAAAGAGAAUCAAUGUGAAUGGAUGAAAGUCUUUAUGAGGUCUCAAAAAACUUACAUGAGGGAAAAAAGACACUAUUUAUACCCUGAGAGAGGGUGAUUAGACGCUUUAUGAGAGCAUUAAGAGCUUGAACUCUAUGGCUAUGGAA
rnacentral:lncRNA from 1 species